UUAGGUUUUUGAUUUUGUGCGCAAUGUGUGUAAUGUGCUUGUUAUUGGAGCCGGUGGUCUUGGAUGCGAACUUUUGAAAAAUUUAGCUAUGCUUGGAUUUCGAAAUAUUGAUGUCAUUGAUAUGGAUACAAUUGAAAUUUCCAAUCUAAAUCGGCAGUUCUUAUUUAGAGCAUCAGAUGUUGGAAAACCUAAAGCUGA